CCUGCUUCACUUUUAAUUUUGUGCAGCUGUCACGGAAUGUAUUAGAAUAAAUUUGUGCUGCCAUCACGAACAUUUUGCACUUGUCAUGACAAUAUCAUGCACCAAUAGAUUAAUAUAUAUUUCGUGCUGCUGAAUCACGACAUGCCGUGAGACUGUAUUGUCUUCUUUUCAGUGGGAU